rnacentral:rRNA from 1 species
CUACGGGCGGCAGCAGUGGGGAAUAUUGGACAAUGGGCGCAAGCCUGAUCCAGCAAUACCGCGUGUGUGAAGAAGGCCUGCGGGUUGUAAAGCACUUUCAAUUGUGAAGAAAAGCCUGGGGUUAAUACCCUCGGAUCUUGACGUUAACUUUAGAAGAAGCACCGGCUAACUCCGUGCCAGCAGCCGCGGUAAUACGGAGGGUGCGAGCGUUAAUCGGAAUUACUGGGCGUAAAGCGUGCGUAGGCGGCUAGGUCAGUCAGAUGUGAAAGCCCCGGGCUUAACCUGGGAACUGCAUUUGAUACUGCCUGGCUAGAGUAUGGUAGAGGGAAGUGGAAUUCCGGGUGUAGCGGUGAAAUGCGUAGAUAUCCGGAGGAACACCAGUGGCGAAGGCGACUUCCUGGACCAAUACUGACGCUGAGGUACGAAAGCGUGGGUAGCAAACAGGAUUAGAUACCCGGGUAGUC